UUGAAACACCAAUUUCCAUACGAUCGCUGAAGUUAAGCAACCUCGAGCCUGGUCAGUACCGAGAGAGGUGACCACUUUUGAAUAAAAGGUGCUGUAA